GAAAGCCAUAUGCUUUGGAAGAAGCUUGUACAGUUUGGGAAGGGGUUUUUUGAGAGAAAAGAAGAAUCUACUUCAAC
rnacentral:ncRNA from 1 species